GUUCUUUCUCCGGGGGGAGCACGCGGAACAGUCACUAAAGUAUUCGCUAUGGGGAGUUGUUUGGCCUCUAGGGGGACAUGUGCACGUCACAAGUGUUUCAACCCCACGUGAGAUCUUGUGAGAUAUGCGAAAUGUUCUCUCAAGUGGUCUGACAUGGUUUUGUGGGAAUUAAAAGGUUCGGUGGUGAAACGCCAUUUUAUUAAUUAACACACCCCAAAUGUAUGUCUACGAAUGUCAUUUAAUGGGCCUUGUGCCUAUAAACCAUAAUACAACUUUCAACAACGGAUCUCUUGGCUCUCGCAUCGAUGAAGAACGCAGCGAAAUGCGAUAAGUAAUGUGAAUUGCAGAAUUCAGUGAAUCAUCGAAUCUUUGAACGCACCUUGCGCCCCUUGGUAUUCCGAGGGGCAUGCCUGUUUGAGUGUCAUUAAAUUCUCAAACUCACUUUGGUUUUUUUCCAAUUGUGAUGUUUGGAUUGUUGGGGGCUGCUGGCCUUGACAGGUCGGCUCCUCUUAAAUGCAUUAGCAGGACUUCUCAUUGCCUAUGCGCAUGAUGUGAUAAUAAUCCCUCAUCAGCAGCAAGGGGAUGAAAUAGGAGUCUCAUCCAGUAUUAUAUCCCAUUCCACACG
rnacentral:rRNA from 1 species